rnacentral:rRNA from 1 species
GACGAACGCUGGCGGCGUGCUUAACACAUGCAAGUCGUACGGUAAGGCCCUUUCGGGGGUACACGAGUGGCGAACAGGUGAGUAACACGUGAGUAACCUGCCCACAACUUUGGGAUAACGCUAGGAAACUGGUGCUAAUACUGGAUAUGUGCUCCUGCUGCAUGGUGGGGGUUGGAAAGCUCCGGCGGUUGUGGAUGGACUCGCGGCCUAUCAGCUUGUUGGUGGGGUAGUGGCCUACCAAGGCGGCGAAGGGUAGCCGGCCUGAGAGGGUGACCGGCCACAUUGGGACUGAGAUACGGCCCAGACUCCUACGGGAGGCAGCAGUGGGGAAUAUUGCACAAUGGGCGCAAGCCUGAUGCAGCAACGCCGCGUGCGGGAGGACGGCCUUCGGGUUGUAAACCGCUUUCAGCAGGGACGAAGCUUUUUGUGACGGUACCUGCAGAAGAAGCACCGGCUAACUACGUG